rnacentral:tRNA from 1 species
GGCUUCAUAGCUCAGUUGGUCGAGCAUCGCACCGGUAUCGCGGAGGUCACCGAUUCGAAUCCCGUUGAAGCCC